rnacentral:lncRNA from 10 species
UCCAGAGUGGACAUCUCCAAAAUUGACCACAUCUACAAAGAUUUGACAAAUCCAUUCCAGGGCAUGGUCAAAAAAAUAAAAUAGAUAAAAACUGUUGUUCUUAAAAAGUCUGAAUACAGAAAGAAUAUCUCUUAAUCUAAUGCUCAGUAACAACUCAGACAGAGGCACAAGAUCAGCCUGAUGGAUGUUUGAAGACAUAAAAAUUGUACUUUUUUCAUAUUUAAUUCAGAUAUCAUGCCUUGUAUAGUCUUACGCUGAAGAAAUACACACGAGUAAGUA